rnacentral:rRNA from 1 species
UACGUAGGUCCCGAGCGUUGUCCGGAUUUAUUGAGCGUAAAGCGAGCGCAGGUGGUUUAUUAAGUCUGGUGUAAAAGGCAGUGGCUCAACCAUUGUAUGCAUUGGAAACUGGUAGACUUGAGUGCAGGAGAGGGGAGUGGAAUUCCAUGUGUAGCGGUGAAAUGCGUAGAUAUAUGGAGGAACACCGGUGGCGAAAGCGGCUCUCUGGCCUGUAACUGACACUGAGGCUCGAAAGCGUGGGGAGCAAACAGG